CAAAGUGACAGAAGACUCAUCAAAACGCGGAGCAGUUUGGCCUGAGAAUUGGCCAGAGAGAGUAGAGACUGUUCCUCAGUGGUUGGAUUCUCAGGAAGGUGUGUAUGGAAAACCUGCACAAGAGGAUUUCACAGCAGACCAAGAACGUUGGAAGACUAUUGUGUCGAAGUCAUACCUCAACGGUAUGGGAAUCGAUUGGUCUUAUGUCAGAAAUGUGAUGGACAUGAGAGCUGUCUAUGGAGGGUAAGUACUGAAAAAAAAACAUUCACUAAUAUCAAACUGACUCCAUGUAUUUGUUAUUAAAUGAUCUCUCUCUUUCUUGGUUUCAGUUUUGCUGCUGCUUUGAAGGAUCUGAAGCUGUGGGUGAUGAAUGUAGUUCCUAUCGACUCAGCUGAUACGCUUCCAAUUAUAUACGAACGUGGUUUGUUUGGAAUCUACCAUGACUGGUGUGAAUCAUUCAGCACUUACCCUCGAACUUACGACCUUCUUCAUGCUGAUCAUCUUUUCUCUGCACUGAAGAAGAGGUAUGUAGAUAUACAGUACACUCACAUAUCUCUGUGGCCUUUUCUUGAUUGCAAAAUCUGAUGAUUGUAUGUAUAAAACAACACUCAUUCAGGUGCAGCUUGGUAUCGGCAAUGGCUGAAGUGGACAGGAUUCUUAGGCCACAAGGAACUUUUAUAGUAAGAGAUGACAUGGAAACAAUAGGAGAAAUCGAGAAGAUGGUGAAAUCGAUGAAGUGGAAUGUAAGAAUGACACAUUCCAAAGAUGGAGAAGGAGUGCUCUCUGUUCAAAAGUCAUUGUGGCGUCCUUCAGAGGUCGAGACAGUUACAUGGGCAAUAGCCUGAGGUGAAUGGAAACUAAGAGGAAGAAUAAAAUGGUUUUUUUUACUUUCUAUAGUUUCAUAAUUAAGUUUUUUUCUUUUAUGAUCACAUUGAUUGUUACUUGUAUUAGUCCAAUAUUUGUAUCCCCUUUUCCUUUUGCAUUGACAAAAAUUGUAUACAAGACAAUUGUCUCAAAACUGUAAACUUAUGAGUUUAUGGUUUGGUCCUAAGCACCUAUGAAAAGUCAUAUAUGAAAUGUGAUAUAAGCAAGGACAUGCAUAUAUAAACAUAUUUGUAACUAUUCUAGAAAGUAAAAUAUAAAUAUGACCUUGCAACAGGUCAGAUUAUACAUGUGUUUUAAGUUUAAGAAAGAAAAACAAACAGUUUAGAAACAAGAUUUUAAUCAAACAAAACAUUCAGUCUCAUCAUCUCUUGUAAGGCUCAAAAGGAUAUCUCUGAAACUCAGAUCCAAAGGUGAUAGAUUCCUCAUCGAGUUUCUUCUUCAACCUCCUCCAAGUCCUCAACUUAUUAGACUGUAUUAACCCUUUAUACAACGUCUCAAACGUUAGCUUCUGCGGCAAGAAACCUCUCUCUAUCAUCUCCACAAAGUACCCACAAGCCUCUUUCCAUUUAUCCUUCCCACACAACCCAUGAACCAAACAAGUAUACGAAUCCAAAUCCGGACCCGUCUCGCUUCCUUUAAGAUCAUCCCAAAUCUCUCCCACAAUCUCCAUCUUCCCCAAAAGAUGAACACGAGGCGCAGGUUCAGUUUGCUCUGGAACGUGGUAUCCCUGCAAUGUCAAAUGUUAUGGGAACCAAGAGAUUGCCUUUCCCAGGAUCUGUUUUCGAUCUUAUCCAUUGUGCUCGUUGUAGAGUCCCUUGGCAUAUUGAAGGUGGUAAACUACUUCUGGAACUGAACCGUGCAUUGAGACCGGGUGGUUUCUUUGUCUGGUCGGCAACUCCAGUUUACAGGAAGACCGAAGAAGACGUUGGCAUAUGGAAAGGUUGGAAACUUUGUUCCCUUUUAUUUGCAACUGGUUCUUAACUAACAUGUGAGAUGUUUCUUUAUGUUCUGUAGCUAUGUCGAAGCUAACAAAGGCAAUGUGCUGGAAACUAAUGACGAUUAAGAAAGAUAAACUGAAUGAAGUUGGUGCUGCCAUUUACCAAAAGCCAAUGUCGAAUGAUUGCUACAACCAAAGAUCUCAAAACGAGCCACCUCUCUGCAAAGACUCUGAUGAUCAAAACGCCGCUUGGUAGCUUAUCUAUUCCCUUUCUCACAUCAAUGCAAUGGAACUUUGUUGCUAAAGUAUAUGAUUGCAGGAAUGUUCCACUUGAGGCAUGUAUGCACAAAGUGACAGAAGACUCAUCAAAACGCGGAGCAGUUUGGCCUGAGAAUUGGCCAGAGAGAGUAGAGACUGUUCCUCAGUGGUUGGAUUCUCAGGAAGGUGUGUAUGGAAAACCUGCACAAGAGGAUUUCACAGCAGACCAAGAACGUUGGAAGACUAUUGUGUCGAAGUCAUACCUCAACGGUAUGGGAAUCGAUUGGUCUUAUGUCAGAAAUGUGAUGGACAUGAGAGCUGUCUAUGGAGGGUAAGUACUGAAAAAAAAACAUUCACUAAUAUCAAA
rnacentral:lncRNA from 1 species